GUAAUAUUGUGGCCAGGCUAUUUUUUUUUUGUAUAUUUUAAAUUUUUAAAAAAAUAUUCCAACAUGAAUAAUAUCUGCUACAGAGUUUACCAAGUUGGCACAGCAGUUGGUAUAAGUAUUCAAAAAUUGGUGUUCCAGAGAAAAACUACAACUAGUUUCAAAUAAUGGCUUAGAAGAUAACAGAGUACCCAAAGAUAAAUUUGUAUCCAUACUUGAAAAUGUAGCAAACUUAUAGAAUAGCAAUAAAUUUUUAAAUGAUGAUAUACAUUUGUUCAAUGCAUUUGUAUUAUUUGACAGACUUGAAAUAGAUAUUUAGUUAAAUGCCUCGACGUUUAACUAAAUGUCUAGGCGGAUAGUAAAAUCAUAUAAAAGUUAAACUGUCUGACUAUUUGCCUAGACAUUUGGUAAAAUGCCAGAUUUGACUAUAUGCCUGACAUGUAAAUAAAUAAAUCAAAUAUAUUAUACUUGAACUUAAUACUUUCAACCCUUGAUAAU